rnacentral:rRNA from 1 species
AACGAACGCUGGCGGCAUGCCUAACACAUGCAAGUCGAACGAGACCUUCGGGUCUAGUGGCGCAAGGGUGCGUAACGCGUGGGAACCUGCCCUUAGGUUCGGAAUAACUCCCCGAAAGGGGUGCUAAUACCGGAUAAUGUCUUCGGACCAAAGAUUUAUCGCCUUUGGAUGGGCCCGCGUUGGAUUAGCUAGUUGGUAGGGUAAAAGCCUACCAAGGCGACGAUCCAUAGCUGGUCUGAGAGGAUGAUCAGCCACACUGGGACUGAGACACGGCCCAGACUCCUACGGGAGGCAGCAGUGGGGAAUAUUGGACGAUGGGCGAAAGCCUGAUCCAGCAAUGCCGCGUGAGUGAUGAAGGCCUUAGGGUUGUAAAGCUCUUUUACCCGGGAUGAUAAUGACAGUACCGGGAGAAUAAGCGCCGGCUAACUCCGUG